AUUGGAAGUAAAAGUCGUAACAAGGUUUCCGUAGGUGAACCUGCGGAAGGAUCAUUAUUGAAUGAACUUGACCUGGUUGCUGCUGGUCUUUUCGAAGGCAUGUGCACACCUUGUCAUCUUUAUAUCUCAACCUGUGCACCUUUUGUAGACCUGGAUUCAACAUUCCGAGGCAACUCGGUCGUGAGGAAUUGCUUCACAGCUUUCCUUGUAAGUUUCCAGGCCUAUGUUUUUCAUAUACACCAUAAGAAUGUAACAGAAUGUCAUUAUUAGACUUCAUUGUCUUAUAAACUAUAUACAACUUUCAGCAACGGAUCUCUUGGCUCUCGCAUCGAUGAAGAACGCAGCGAAAUGCGAUAAGUAAUGUGAAUUGCAGAAUUCAGUGAAUCAUCGAAUCUUUGAACGCACCUUGCGCUCCUUGGUAUUCCGAGGAGCAUGCCUGUUUGAGUGUCAUUAAAUUCUCAACCUUUGUCAACUUUUUUGGUCGACCAAUGGCUUGGAUGUGGGGGUUUUGCAGGUUUCCCUUUCGAAAUCAGCUCCCCUGAAAUGUAUUAGCUGGUUGCGUUGUGUAGACCUGUCUAUUGGUGUGAUAAUUAUCUACGCCGUGGACUGUUUGCCAUUUUAGCACUGCUUCUAACUGUCUGUUCAUUCAGACGAUAUAUGACAAUUUGACCUCAAAUCAGGUAG
rnacentral:rRNA from 1 species